rnacentral:rRNA from 1 species
ACGGUUACCUUGUUACGACUUCACCCCAGUUAUCAGACCUGCCUUCGGCAGCUCCCUCCAAAGGUUGGGUCACUGACUUCGGGCAUUCCCGACUCCCAUGGUGUGACGGGCGGUGUGUACAAGACCCGGGAACGUAUUCACCGCGACAUUCUGAUUCGCGAUUACUAGCGAUUCCAGCUUCGUGUAGUCGGGUUGCAGACUACAGUCCGAACUGGGACGUUAUUUUUGGGAUUUGCUCCCCCUCACGGGUUCGCUUCCCUUUGUUACGCCAUUGUAGCACGUGUGUAGCCCAAGCCAUAAGGGGCAUGAUGAUUUGACGUCAUCCCCACCUUCCUCCAGGUUAUCCCUGGCAGUCUCCCUAGAGUGCCCACCCGAAGUGCUGGCUACUAAGGAUAAGGGUUGCGCUCGUUGCGGGACUUAACCCAACAUCUCACGACACAAGCUGACAACAACCAUGCACCACCUGUCUCUGAUGUCC